CAACAAAGUGUCAAGGAAUCCUCUACCCCACCAAGGACAUUUGCGGCCCCACCACUUGAGUCGACACCCAGUAAAACAGAAAUGGAUGAUCUACAGAAAGAAAGAAUUAUAAUUAGAUUUAGAGAAUGUGAACAUUGACAACGUAGACAUUUCAGACAUAAAUUUGGAUGAAGAAUUACUAGAAGAUUGAAAUACAGAACAAUGGACCUUUGUAUCUU